rnacentral:rRNA from 1 species
ACGGGAGGCAGCAGUGGGGGAUAUUGCACAAUGGGGGAAACCCUGGUGCAGCGACGCCGCGUGAGUGAUGAAGUAUUUCGGUAUGUAAAGCUCUAUCAGCAGGGAAGAAAAUGACGGUACCUGACUAAGAAGCUCCGGCUAAAUACGUGCCAGCAGCCGCGGUAAUACGUAUGGAGCAAGCGUUAUCCGGAUUUACUGGGUGUAAAGGGAGCGUAGACGGUGACGCAAGUCUGAAGUGAAAGGUGUGGGCUCAACCCGCAAACUGCUUUGGAAACUGUGUGACUAGAGUGUCGGAGAGGUAAGUGGAAUUCCUAGUGUAGCGGUGAAAUGCGUAGAUAUUAGGAGGAACACCAGUGGCGAAGGCGGCUUACUGGACGAUAACUGACGUUGAGGCUCGAAAGCGUGGGGAGCAAACAGGAUUAGAUACCCUGGUA